rnacentral:lncRNA from 1 species
CCCACACCCCGUACGCAUGACAACAGACUCUAUACCUGCAAAAAGGAAACAAAACAACAGCAGCAACAGAGCAGUAGCGAAUGGAAGAAACAAUAUUUUUUGUACUCUUCUUUGAAACAUUCGGCUAUAAAGCCUAAAUGGAAAAUUUGUAAAAGGAGGGAUUUUUGCUAUGAAAACAAAGAUUUUCUUUCAAUAUUAACAGAUUGAAUACAAGAACCAUUCGAAAAUACAUAUACAAACAGGGGCUCUAACACCAAAUCGGAGAAUCAAAUCUAAAACCUAAGGUGACCUUUUUUUCUUUUUUUCUUUACUGUUUUAAGUUUGUUUUUUACAUAAAAAUACUAAAAAAUAUCAAAACAUAAAAACAUAUGUAUUAUUAAGCAAAAAAAAAAAAGAAAUUUUACCUUUUCCGGCCACCGCGUGCGGUGGCCGGCGCCGGCGCCGGCAACGGUCCGGCGAUCGGAC